CGCCAGUGUGAUGGAUACUCGCCAUGCUAAUACCGAGAGUGCGUUGCUGGUAGACUUCAUUGUCCCAGCCAGC
rnacentral:sRNA from 1 species